AGCAGCCGCGGUAAUUCCAGCUCCAAUAGCGUAUAUUAAAGUUGUUGCAGUUAAAAAGCUCGUAGUUGAAUUUCGGAAUCAAUUUGUCGGUCGUGCUUCGGUACGUACUGUCAUUAUUGGUUUCUCCCUUCUGAAGAACCGCGAUGUCAUUAAUUUGGUGUCGUGGGGAAUCAGGACUGUUACUUUGAAAAAUUGAGUGUUUAAAGCAGGCUCGCGCUUGAAUACAUUAGCAUGGAAUAAUGAAAUAGGACGUUUGAUUCUAUUUUGUUGGUUUCUAGGAUCGACGUAAUGAUUAAUAGGGAUAGUUGGGGCAUUAGUAUUCAAUUGUCAGAGGUGAAAUUCUUGGAUUUAUUGAAGACUAACUACUGCGAAAGCUA
rnacentral:rRNA from 1 species